rnacentral:rRNA from 1 species
CCUACGGGUGGCAGCAGUGAGGAAUAUUGGGCAAUGGACGAGAGUCUGAACCAGCCAAGUAGCGUGAAGGAUGACUGCCCUAGGGGUUGUACACUUCUUUUAUAUGGGAAUGAAAUGUUCCACGUGUGGGAUUUUGUAUGUACCAUAUGAAUAAGGAUCGGCUAACUCCGUGCCAGCAGCCGCGGUAAUACGGAGGAUCCGAGCGUUACCCGGAUUUCUUGGGGUUAAAGGGAGCGUAAGUUGAUUGUUAAGUCAGUUGUGAAAGUUUGUGGCACAACCGUAAAAUUGCAGUUGAAACUGGCAGUCUUGAGUACAGUAGAGGUAGGCGGAAUGCGUGGUGUAGCGGUGAAAUGCUUAGAUAUCACGAAGAACUCCGAGUGCGAAGGCAGCUCACUGGACUGCAACUGACACUGAGGCUCGAAAGUGUGGGUAUCAAACAGGAUUAGAUACCCGAGUAGUC